GAAAAAUGAGAUUUGGACCUAGAACGGAAAGAAAUCGAUUUAUGGACGAGUAUGUCUUUUCACCUUUGUGGUAUCGAGGUAAGUUCAUGUGUAAAUAAUGUAGCAUAAUUGUUAUUUUUAAGUUAUUGAUGUUAAAUAUAUGAUAUGCUGAUUUUUAUCAUGAAAUAUAUGCUUUGUGGUUAUUUUCGAAUAAAAUGCAAGUUAUGUGUAUUAUCUGUUAAAUAUAAAGUGCUACCGAGUAUUGGUUUCGGUAUUUUACGGAAGAUGGCAAGGAUAGGUGUUCGAGGAAAAUCCCGUUUGAACCUUAGGAAUAGAUUAGGAUACAAGUGACAUGUCACUAGGAUGGUUGAGCAUCCGAACUCGUUGAGUUGAGUCCGAGUUCACUUAUGGAUGCGAAUGUUCGAACUCAUUGAGUUGAGUCCGAGUUCGUGAGAUGUAACUAGGCAUCCGAGCUCGUUGAGUUGAGCCCGAGUUCACUUAUGGAUGCGAACGCCCGAGCUCGUUGAGUUGAGUCCGAGUUCACUUAUGGGCGGGUUACAUGGUAGCUUGGCUACAUAUGUGGCACUUAUGUGCAAACUUUCCAUGUAUCUGAAUUAUAUUCUGAUGUGUUCAACGGGUAAAAUUCUACUCAAAUAGAGGAAUACUCGAGAUGAAAGGGACGUAUUGGUAAAUGUUGUGAAAUUGAUACUUUGAACAGGUAUGUACUUAACCCUCGGGUUGAAAACUCAACAUAACAACAGUAUGGUAAGAUGGUAAAUGAAAAUGUGGUAUGAAUGUCUCGGUGAUGAUUAUACAAACGAUGUUGUAUUAAUUUUGUGAACAAUGAUCAUGAAUGAGUAAUUUAGCCUUGACAGAUUUGAGUUACUGCAGUAGUGUAACUUUGAAAAUACACUAAAAAUAGUGGAAAAUGAGUUAGAGGCAGAAUAAAAUAUUGGAUUAAAGCUCAAUGAGUCUAUUUUCACAUGAAAGAAACAGGGAAAGAAAAAGAAUUCCAUAUUGUGUGAUAUUUGAAUUCUUGUGAAACAGGGUCUGAAUGAAUUCGAGAUCCCCUGUUCUAACUUUAGAAAUUCACCAAAAAUUGUACAAAAAUUAUUAAUAGUUAUACAUUACAUGCAUGGAUUCCUUAUUGAGUCUAUUUUUAUGGGAAAUAAACGGCACGGUUGUUGGAAUUUUUUACAGGGAGAAAUUUGGUUUGUAGUGCACAGGGGUCCGAGUGGUCAUACCCUGAAAUAGGGGAGACUUUAACUAAUAAAAUGUACUAUUUGGCUUAACCAAAAAUUCUUGAAAUUUUAUGGAAGAAAGGAAAAUAAGUCUAGUUUUAUGGAAAAUUAAUGGAACUUAAUUCGGAGUUUCGUAGCUCCAGAUAUAAAUCAUUUAGUGACUGUUGCUCAGGAAGACAGCUUGUAGUGAACUUGAGAAUAUGUUGUAAACAUUGAUAAAACAAGUUAAUGAGUUGCUUAUUGUUUUCAUAUGAACUUACUAAGCGAAAGCUUACCCCCUUUCUUUCCCAUGUUUUUUAGAGUUUCCAGGUUAGCUCGGGUUGGAGGCCGUCAGAGAUAUUAUCACCCUAUCGAGUUAACGUUAUCGGAGUAAGUAAACUCAAGUGAUUCGAGUCUAUGGCAUGUAUAGGGUUUUAAUGUGAGUAUGAAAUAUUAUGAUUUAGCCAAAGGCAUUGGCUUGUUAUUAAGGUAGUAUUAGUUAUGUAAAUUGGCCUAUGUCGGCUAAUAUCGUUAUGGGCCCAUA
rnacentral:lncRNA from 1 species